rnacentral:rRNA from 1 species
UAGGGAAUAUUGCACAAUGGAGGAAACUCUGAUGCAGCGACGCCGCGUGAGUGACGAAGGCCUUCGGGUUGUAAAGCUCUGUUCUCAGGGAAAAAGAAAGUGAUUGUACCUGAGAAGAAAGGACCGGCUAACUUCGUGCCAGCAGCCGCGGUAAGACGAGGGGUCCAAGCGUUGUUCGGAAUUAUUGGGCGUAAAGCGGGUGUAGGUGGCUCUAUAAGUCAGGAGUGAAAUCCCCGAGCUUAACUUGGGAAGUGCUUUUGAUACUGCAGAGCUUGAAUGUGGGAGAGGAUAAUAGAAUUCCAGGUGUAGUGGUGAAAUACGUAGAUAUCUGGAGGAAUACCGGUGGCGAAGGCGGUUAUCUGGCCCAACAUUGACACUGAGACCCGAAAGCGUGGGGAUCAAACAGGAUUAGAUACCCACGUAGUCCCUGAGCGGGCUGGCAAGGCGCAU